GAGACUGUAGCUCAACUGGAUAGAGUGUUGGCCUGCGGAGCCGAAGGUUGGGGAUUCGAACUCCCCCAGUCUCACUA
rnacentral:tRNA from 1 species